rnacentral:tRNA from 1 species
GCUAUGUUGGCAGAAAAUUGUGUUUGUUUUAGGUGCAAAAAAAUGUGGAGAUUCACACAUGGUA